AUAUUUCGGAACUGAGUCUAGUUCCUUCGAUAUCAAUGUAAUCUAGUAAUCAUGAUAAAUCAUCAUGAUUACUAGAUUACAUUUGACAAAUUAUCAUGCAGGAUUACUAGAUUACAUUGAUAUCGAAGGAACUAGACUCAGUUCCGAAAUAU